CCAACCCCCCCGAGGCCACAGCUCGGUCCGCUAUAUAACACCCGCGGCGGAGGCUGUGCUACAGAUCCACGCUCCACUCCACUCCGAGAGGCAUCCAGGUGUCGCCGACAACCCAACCGCCAUGUACAAACUGCUGCUGCUGGUCGUCGCAAUGCUGGCACUCCUGGCGAGCGCCGCGGCUUUCCCCAUGCCGCAACCGCAACCGCAACCACAGCCGCAGCCGCAGCCGCAGCCACAGUUCCUGUACACAUACCCCUACUACUCGGGCCUCACGUAUGGCUACCCGUACUACUACUGAACAAGACUUUGGCUUCCAAUCAUUCUUGGUACCUACACAUGAUUCCAUCCACACAAGUAACCUGUUUCAUGAAGAAUUUUUUUCUUUAUACUAAUUCUAACCAUGAAUUGUCCAAUUCAAGCGAAGAUGCGUUAACAUUUAUGUAAUAUUUAAUACAAAAUAAAUAAAUAAUCAAUACCCAAAGGGAUUAUUAUGAAUUAAGUUCUGUGUGAAAUAAAUAUAAACAUUUUUCAAUAUAAAACAUUUAUUGUCUAAAAUUAUAUUUACAAGUACAUUAAGUUUUAAGCUGAUUCAAUUCAAACACAGCACCUAUAGUUUCAUUUUCAUAACAAAUAUAACAGCAUUUUUCCCGCC